rnacentral:rRNA from 1 species
AUACGGAGGGUGCAAGCGUUAACCGGAGUCAUUGGGUUUAAAGGGUGCGCAGGCGGAAUGAUAAGUCAGUGGUGAAAUCCUACAGCUUAACUGUAGAACUGCCAUUGAUACUGUCAUUCUUGAGUACACUUGAAGUGGGCGGAAUGUAUCAUGUAGCGGUGAAAUGCAUAGAUAUGAUACAGAACUCCGAUAGCGAAGGCAGCUCACUAAAUUGUAACUGACGCUCAGGCACGAAAGCGUGGGGAGCAAACAGGAUUAGAAACCCCAGUAGUCC